rnacentral:rRNA from 1 species
CCUACGGGUGGCAGCAGUGAGGAAUAUUCGUCAAUGGACGAGAGUCUGAACCAGCCAAGUAGCGUGAAGGAUGACUGCCCUAUGGCUUGUAAACUCUUUUUAUAAAGGAAUAAAACGAGGCACGUGUGCCUUUUUGCAUGUACUUUAUGAAUAAGGAUCGGCUAACUCCGUGCCAUCAGCCGCGGUAAUACGCAGGAUCCGAGCGUUAUCCGGAUAUAUUGGGUUUAAAGGGAGCGUAGAUGGGUUGUUAAGUCAGUUGUGAAAGUUUGCGGCUCAACCGUAAAAUUGCAAUUGAUACUGGCAGUCUUGAGUACAGUAGAGGUAGGCGGAAUUCGUGGUGUAGCGGUGAAAUGCUUAGAUAUCACGAAGAACCCCGAUUGCGAAGGCAGCUUACUAAACUGUGACUGACAUUGAUGCUCGAAAGUGUGGGUAGCAAACAGGAUUAGAUACCCCAGUAGUC